AUACUCUGGUUUCUCUUCAAAACGUAGAAGUCUUUCGCCUUUUACUAAAGAUUUCCGUGGAGAGAAAAUUGUGAGUUUGUAUCUAAUUUUUUGAGGCCUCGUGUUUCUUGAGGCU